rnacentral:tRNA from 1 species
UAAGGUCUUAAGUUAAUUAAACUAUUAGCCUUCAAAGCUGAAAAUGAAAAUCCCUAUUUUAGGCCUUAG